rnacentral:rRNA from 1 species
ACGGCUCAGUAACACGUGGCUAACCUACCCUCAGGACGAGGAUAACCCCGGGAAACUGGGGCUAAUAUUCGAUAGGUGAGGAUGCCUGGAAUGGUUUCUCACUCAAAGGGCUUUAGAUACAUGCUUCUAACGUCGCCUGGGGAUGGGGCCGCGACCGAUCAGGUUGUUGGUGAGGUAAUGGCUCACCAAGCCUAUAACCGGUACGGGCCGUGAGAGCGGUAGCCCGGAGAUGGGUACUGAGACAAGGACCCAGGCCCUACGGGGCGCAGCAGUCGCGAAAACUCCGCAAUGCACGAAAGUGUGACGGGGCUACCCCGAGUGCCAUCCGCUGAGGGUGGCUUUUCUUUGGUAUAACUAGCCAGGGGAAUAAGGAGAGGGCAAGACUGGUGUCAGCCGCCGCGGUAAUACCAGCUCUCCGAGUGGUAGGGAUGAUUAUUGGGCUUAAAGCGUCCGUAGCCUGCUUAGCAAGUCUCCUGUUAAAUUCAGCGACCUAAUCGUUGAGCCGCGGGAGAUACUACUAGGCUAGGAGGCGGGAGAGGUCGACGGUACUUCUGGGGUAGGGGUGAAAUCCUAUAAUCCCAGGAGGACCACCAGUGGCGAAGGCUGUCGACUAGAACGCGCUCGACGGUGAGGGACGAAAGCUGGGGGAGCGAACCGGAUUAGAUACCCGGGUAGUCCCAGCCGUAAACGAUGCGGGCUAGGUGUUGGGGUGGCUACGGGCCACUCCAGUGCCGCAGGGAAGCCAUUAAGCCCGCCGCCUGGGGAGUACGGCCGCAAGGCUGAAACUUAAAGGAAUUGGCGGGGGAGCACCACAAGGCGUGAAGCUUGCGGUUCAAUUGGAUUCAACGCCGGA